UCACCUCAGAGAUCUUCAAGAUUGAGAUCCAAAACCUCCCAAGACAUUUUGGAUUUGCGGUUCCCUGAAGUCCAUCCAGAUGAUCCCUAAUAAGACAGCAGACGGUACAGGCAUCAACUCCGACACCCUGGCCUUACAGGUGAAGACCCAUCCUGAGCUGAGGGACUAGCUUCAUGUCGUCACCUCUUGGGGGCCUUUGCCUGUCUACCCUGGGGUGGUCAACUCCGAAUUACCUGAGGAAGUACGUUACCUGUCUUCACGGAGGCUACGGUCUCGGACUGGACGAUUCUUGACCUGGAUCCUAAACCACAUGCAUAUCAGGGACGUCUGCUUCUACCCACGCUUCAUAAAACGAUGCAUGCCAUAGAUGCGUCAACAUGUUGCCUUCAAUUCUUGAUUCUAAGCAUUGCUUAAUAUUUAGUGUGGGAAAUCAAGAUUAAUAAGGGGUGGGGCUAGGUUGAUCAAGUGGGGGGGGGUGAUUGUAUGCCCUAAGACCAAAUUUUUAGAGAUAAUUAUGCCAUUGUAUUGUAAGGUAUUUCUUCAAGGUGCAGUUUUAAACUUUCUUCACAGUUCGCUCUUUUAGUUUCAAGUAGUUUUGGUUUUUUUUUACCAAAACUCAUAACAAAUUGCAAGGGUUCAACCUAACAUUUCUUAUGAAAUUUGGCCAAAUCAGGACUUGCCUCCAAAUGACUCGGAAAUUCCCUACGAUGUAAGAUGAGUUUCAAUCAGUGUUCAAAAAUCCAUUUUUAUGAAGAUUUGAGCAAAAAUUACCGGUUUAUUGAUUGGAAAGAAGUUAUCUUUUGUGACCACAAUUUCUCCCACAUUUCUGAUGUGAUUAUCUGUUGCAUGGAAUAUCUGACCAGAAAUCGUGUUGGAAUUGGGCCUCAAGUACUUUAGGCCCCCCCCCCCCA
rnacentral:lncRNA from 1 species